AGUGAACGCUGGCGGUAGGCCUAACACAUGCAAGUCGAACGGCAGCACAGUAAGAGCUUGCUCUUACGGGUGGCGAGUGGCGGGCGGGUGAGGAAUACAUCGGAAUCUACUUUUUCGUGGGGGAUAACGUAGGGAAACUUACGCUAAUACCGCAUACGACCUACGGGUGAAAGCAGGGGAUCUUCGGACCUUGCGCGAUUGAAUGAGCCGAUGUCGGAUUAGCUAGUUGGCGGGGUAAAGGCCCACCAAGGCGACGAUCCGUAGCUGGUCUGGGAGGAUGAUCAGCCACACUGGAACUGAGACACGGUCCAGACUCCUACGGGAGGCAGCAGUGGGGAAUAUUGGACAAUGGGCGCAAGCCUGAUCCAGCCAUACCGCGUGGGUGAAGAAGGCCUUCGGGUUGUAAAGCCCUUUUGUUGGGAAAGAAAAGCAGCAGGUUAAUACCCCGCUGUUCUGACGGUACCCAAAGAAUAAGCACCGGCUAACUUCGUG
rnacentral:rRNA from 1 species